rnacentral:rRNA from 1 species
UACGUAGGGGGGCUAGCGUUGUCCGGAAUCAUUGGGCGUAAAGCGCGUGUAGGCGGCCCGGUAAGUCCGCUGUGAAAGUCGGGGGCUCAACCCUCGGAUGCCGGUGGAUACUGUCGGGCUAGAGUGCGGAAGAGGCGAGUGGAAGUUCCUGGUGUAGCGGUGAAAUGACGCAGAUAUCAGGAGGAACACCGAUUGCGAAGGCAGCUCGCUGGGACGUAACUGACGCUGAGACGCGAAAGCGUGGGGAGCAAACAGG